rnacentral:misc_RNA from 1 species
CGAACCCUCAGGCGCUCGACUUGACUCGAGCAGCCUGGCGUUGGGGCGCUACGGCGCGCUGCGGCGCCCGUAGGCCCUGAAAUACAGUGGCGGGACCGGUCAGACCCCGAGCGUAGUAGUCUCCCUCUCGCUCAGGGCCGUCUGGCGGUCUAUCUUGCCAUGAGACGCUAUAUUCUGACGCUA